rnacentral:lncRNA from 1 species
UCUUUAUUGAAAUCUAUGGCUUUCUCCUUGGAACCAAAGCUCUUCUUCUUAGUCUUCUCCUCUUUCUUAUACUACUUUGAAUUCUAAUUGCUAUUAGAAUCAAAUAUGACCUUGUUGUCUCCUUACUUUUUAAUUGUCUUUCUACUUUCAUGGCCAUAUUAACCAUCUCUUCAACUCAACAUAGUGAUGUAAUUCAACUAUAUCAGCAAUUUCUCUAUUCA